AUUGAACGCUGGCGGCAGGCCUAACACAUGCAAGUCGAGCGAGAGGCGGACGGGUGAGUAAUGUCUGGGAAACUGCCUGAUGGAGGGGGGUAACUACUGGAAAAGGUAGCUAAUACCGCAUACCAUCAGAUGUGCCCAGAUGGGAUUGGCUAGUAGGUGGGGUAAUGGCUCACCUAGGCGACGAUCCCUCGCUGGUCUGGGAGGGUGACCAGCCAAACUGCAACGGAGACACGGUGCAGACUCCUACGGGCGGCAGCAGUGGGGAAUAUUGCACAAGGGGCGCAAGCCUGAUGCAGCCAUGCCGCGUGUGUGAAGAAGGCCUUCGGGUUGUAAGGCACUUUCAGCGGGGAGGCGUUACCCGAAGAAGAAGCACCGGCUAACUCCGUGCCAGCAGCCGCGGUAAUAC
rnacentral:rRNA from 1 species